GACAAGGUGUCCGAGUGGUUGUGAGUAAUGAAUUUGCCCCACUAUCUAUGAAGUUUGCUAACUCCAAGAAGAAGGAGUGUGACUAGAAAUCACAUGGGUUCGCCCGCGUAGGUUCAAGUCCUGCCCUUGUCG
rnacentral:tRNA from 1 species